CUACGGGUUGCACCAGUAGGGAAUAUUGGACAAUGGGCGAAAGCCUGAUCCAGCAACACCGCGUGCACGAUGACGGCCUUCGGGUUGUAAAGUGCUUUUAGAGGAGAUGAGAAAGGACAGUAUCCUCUGAAUAAGCCUCGGCGAACUACGUGCCAGCAGCCGCGGUAAAACGUAGGAGGCAAGCGUUAUCCGGAUUUAUUGGGCGUAAAGCGCGUGCAGGCGGUCUAGCGAGUUGGAUGUGAAAGCUCCCGGCUCAACUGGGAGAGGUCGUUCAAUACUGUUAGACUAGAGAAUAGGAGAGGGAGGUGGAAUUCCGGGUGUAGUGGUGAAAUGCGUAGAUAUCCGGAGGAACACCAGUGGCGAAAGCGGCCUCCUGGACUAUUUCUGACGCUAAGACGCGAAAGCUAGGGUAGCAAACGGGAUUAGAUACCCUAGUAGUC
rnacentral:rRNA from 1 species